GGUCAGCGGCGGACGGGUGAGUAACGCGUGGGAACGUGCCUUCUGGUCUGGGAAUAACCCUGGGAAACUAGGGCUAAUACCGGAUACGCCCUUUUGGGGAAAGGUUUACUGCCGGAAGAUCGGCCCGCGUCUGAUUAGCUAGUUGGUGGGGUAACGGCCUACCAAGGCGACGAUCAGUAGCUGGUCUGAGAGGAUGAUCAGCCACACUGGGACUGAGACACGGCCCAG
rnacentral:rRNA from 1 species